GGCGGGCCGAGGUCGGAUUGGAGUCUUAGGCGGAGGGACCUACGCCAAGAUUCCAUCUCGACCUCAUUCCGCCUU